CCAGGUACACGGCAAGAAAUAAAGUUGCUUUCGACAUUUCAUUCAGUUUCGAUCAAAUUGAAAAAAAAUUGGUAUUAUAAUUUCCUGCUCUUCGUUCUUUCUUUUUGGAUUGAGAUUAACGACAAAAUUGAUUUUAAGUACGUUCCUCUUUUUCGCUCGCUAAUUAACAUUUAGUCAAAAACCAACUAGCACUUCAUCUUCAUCUCAUGCAAUUUUGAUUUCUUAUGAAAAAUGGAUUGAUAAAAAUGGAAUGAUUUUCACACUUAUCGUAACUAUUUCCGGGUGGAGUUUCGCACACGAAGCCCCUUCGCUGGCGGCCACUGAGGCUGGCACGUUGUCAGUCUACGUGAGUUGUGGGCAGUAGAGAUGGCAAAGUCUCAGCAUACGAUGUACGGAUCUCUACUAUCAGUUGGCAUUCGAUUGAAUCAAAAGUCGAGGGACAAUAUCGAAGAUUUUGAAAAUAAACGGUUCGGGAAUGAUGCCAACCUUUUUUGAUGAUUUUUUUGGUUGCUCUCAGCCAAAUAUUGUCCGAAAAAUGAAAAUGAAAGAUAUAUGAUUUGUUUAGACUCUUCUAGAAGCUACAUAGAAGCUCAAUAAACGGGAUUUCGAUAUCGA